CCUUAGCUCAGUGGUGAGAGCAGGCGACUCAUAAUCGUUUGGUCACUGGUUCGAAUCCAGUAGGGC
rnacentral:tRNA from 1 species